CCUACGGGUGGCAGCAGUGAGGAAUAUUGGUCAAUGGGCGUAAGCCUGAACCAGCCAAGUAGCGUGAGGGAUGAAUGCUCUACGGAUUGUAAACCUCUUUUAUAAAGGAAUAAAGUGAGGCACGUGUGCCUUUUUGUAUGUACUUUAUGAAUAAGGAUCGGCUAACUCCGUGCCAGCAGCCGCGGUAAUACGGAGGAUCCGAGCGUUAUCCGGAUUUAUUGGGUUUAAAGGGAGCGUAGAUGGGCUGUUAAGUCAGUUGUGAAAGUUUGUGGCUCAACCAUAGAAUUGCCAUUGAUACUGGGAGUCUUGAGUAUAGUUGAGGCAGGCGGAAUGCGUGGUGUAGCGGUGAAAUGCUUAGAUAUCACGAAGAACCCCGAUUGCGAAGGCAGCUUACCAAGC
rnacentral:rRNA from 1 species